rnacentral:pre_miRNA from 1 species
UCUUUUGAAUGAGUAAAGAAAGUGGUUUCUUGAAAUGGAAUCUGCUCCUGGUAAAGAUAAUGAGAA